AACGAACGCUGGCGGCGCGUUUUAGGCAUGCAAGUCGAACGGUAGAGAGGUGCUUGCACCUCUUGAGAGUGGCGAACGGGUGAGUAACACGUAAGUAAUCUGCCUAAAAGUUGGGGAUAGCCUGUGGAAACACAGGGUAAUACCGAAUACGUCCUAUAAAUGGGAGUUUAUAGGGGAAAGGAGCUAAGGCUUCGCUUUUAGAUGAGCUUGCGGUUCAUUAGCUAGUUGGUGGGGUAAAGGCCUACCAAGGCGACGAUGAAUAGCCGGCCUGAGAGGGUGACCGGCCACACUGGGACUGAGAUACGGCCCAG
rnacentral:rRNA from 1 species